CAAUAGCGUAUAUUAAAGUUGUUGCAGUUAAAAAGCUCGUAGUUGGAUUUCUGGUGGGAGCGAUCGGUCUGGCGCUUAGCGCGAGUACUUGCAUCGUCUCCGGCCAUCCUUGGGGAGAGUCUGUCUGGCAUUAGGUUGUCGGGCAGAGGAUCCUCAUCGUUUACUGUGAAAAAAUUAGAGUGUUCAAAGCAGGCUUAUGCCGUUGAAUAUAUUAGGAUGGAAUAAUAAGAUAGGACUUUGGUACUAUUUUGUUGGUUUGCGCACCAAAGUAAUGAUUAAUAGGGACAGUUGGGGGUAUUCGUAUUCCGUUGUCAGAGGUGAAAUUCUUGGAUUUACGGAAGACGAACUACUGCGAAAGCAUUUACCAAGGAUGUUUUCAUUAA
rnacentral:rRNA from 1 species